rnacentral:rRNA from 1 species
AUACGUAGGGGGCGAGCGUUAAUCGGAAUUACUGGGCGUAAAGCGCGCGUAGGUGGUUCAGUCAGUCAGAUGUGAAAGCCCCGGGCUCAACCUGGGAACUGCACCUGAUACUGCUGAGCUAGAGUACGGUAGAGGGCAGUGGAAUUUCCGGUGUAGCGGUGAAAUGCGUAGAGAUCGGAAGGAACACCAGUGGCGAAGGCGACUGCCUGGACUGAUACGGACACUGAGGUGAGAAAGCGUGGGUAGCAAACAGGAUUAGAUACCCUGGUAGUCCACGCCGUAAACGAUGUCAACUAGCCGUUGGGGGACUUGAUCCUUUAGUGGCGAAGCUAACGCGAUAAGUUGACCGCCUGGGGAGUACGGCCGCAAGGUUAAAACUCAAAUGAAUUGACGGGG